UCUUAUCGGUUCAUUUGUUCAUAUUUGGGAAACCGCGAUUGCCGGAGUUCCCAUUGGGCAUGAUCAAUACACGCUGAUAAUAAUACCAUCGCGACAGCAGUUUUCCUUUGCGACGGAUUAUCCACAGGAGCACCAGAAUCCAACACAGCCACAGACCAGCUAGUAACAGCAUCAUUGUCUGUUUAUACGAAGAUAAUUUGCAACGACGAUGCUCCUGCAGCUACAAAGUGUUCAUUUUAAAACACGGAAAGGAAUGUCUAGCAGGGCACGAAACGCACAUAGAGCACGACCGCUCCAAUAUUAACAUCCUGAUAUGUGCGUCAUCCCAAUAGUUGCUCCGCCUAGGAAAAUUUUAAAAGUUCCCAGAAGAAGACUCAGCAGCUCGCUCAGCAGGUGCUGGCAAUGAAAAGCAAAGUGCCGGUGGACUAAUGACGCUGCUGCGGGAACUGGGUGAACGAAGUGUCUGGUCACAGACCUAUACGACUGUGUGAAAACGAUCGAGCAUCUCAGUAACGUUCAAUCGCACCGUAGUUGGAUGCAGAUUAUGAACACGUUGGUGCAUCACAAAAUCCAAGAUCACCUGCAGAAGGACGUGCUUUUAUCGUGCUCAAAACCACACCGAUGGCAGGGUGUGAUGACGGAAGUUACUCUUCUGCCCACAACGAGAAUGAAAUAACGGUCAAGUUCUUUUUUCGUGCAAUGAAGGCAUAGGACUCACCUUCUGCAAUCAGGUGCUGUGCAAACUGGCAGAGCAGCGCUAUCGUAAGGCGUUGGCUAUUUACCUUAAGCUCGACCCGAAGAACUGCAACAUCCUAAUUCACGAUGCAGCUCUUCCUGAGGAAAUCGAUACAAACACUGAUGUGCAAGUUCCAUUGCUACCAAAGCCAACAUAAAUUAGCCUACCGAGGUCGAUACGAAAAUUAAACCUCCGGCGAUAAUACCAUUUUGUACCGAUAGAAAAAUUAUCACUGUAAGCCUGUCA